rnacentral:lncRNA from 1 species
AGUUAUUUGUUCAAGUUUGGUUCGUUGGGUUAGAGAUUCGAGCUGCGGGUUCAUGUAUCGAGGCUGGGUUCAUUGUUUGAGGUUCGGUCGCGGGCUUCAUCUCUUCAUCAGUUAAUACUAAAUUCUGGAAUCUUUGAAUUUGAAUUGAGGUCUAAUUCUAUUCCUCCUCUUCUUUAUUUCAUCACUUGUCAUGUUCGAUACUUUGAAUUGAAUUCAGUGUGUUAAUUGAUAUGUGAUCAUGUGAAUUAUUAUUUGUUGUGAUUCGGUGUUUGAUUUCCUUGAUUAUGGAUUGAUUGUGGGUUGCGCGUUGAAAUAAUAUCUCAUUAAAAAUUAAAAUUGGUUGGUUGGGGUGGAAUUGAAAAUUAACAAAAAAGGAGAGAUUCGAUUUAAUUUUGAUUUAGUGUUGGCAUGAAUCAUGAUAGGUUUAUGAUGGGUUGAAACGGAUAGGUAAUAUAGGUUCGGGUAGGCUAAUUUUAGAACUUUUUGUUUUGGUCGAAUGUUGGAAUGUGUGUAUGAAUGCUUCCUUCUAGUUUUAUCGUGAUUUAAUUCAAAAUGUAUUCAUUAGGCCGGGGAAUGCCCCGAGGGAUUUGUAUUGAUUUAUCCAGAGAAUGCCCCGAAGUAUCAUGUACUUGAAGACGGUGCACGAUCAAGGCCCAGAACGUCGGGAAAAGCAAUGGAGCGUAGUUAGAAUUAGCCUAGAAUAGAGUAGGUUUAUAUUUUCAUAUUUUUUUUAUUUUUAUUUUCAUUUCGAAAUUGUAUAAUUGGACUGAACACUAAAUUUUGAAUUGUUUUGUUUUAUUUGAUUUUUUUACGUGUUUUGCGUGGUUUGUUCAUUCGUAGUGUCAGAAUUAGCCGAUACGCUCUACCUAGCGACCGUGGUCAAACCACGGGACUGAGGGGUGCCUAACACCUUCCCCUCAGUCCAUAAAAUUCCUUAACCAAAAUCUCUGUUCGCAGAUUAGUUUUAAAGAGUCAAACAGUUUUGAAAAAGGAUAUCCAAGGGUGACUCGGCACACCCAAUUUAUGCCAAGUGGCGACUCUGAAUAAAAAAUGUAAAUAAUCCUCUUUCGAAACAAAUCUUCAUUUUGUCACUUUAAUAAUAAAAAUCCUUUUGAACUUAAAAAAUCAAUCUCUUUGGAGUUAAAAAAAAAAAGGGUGUGACAGCUCUGGCGACUCUACUGGGGAAUCAAUUUCAGAAUUCGAGCUUAUUUUUGGAGUCGUAUCGACUUUGUUUGGCAUUACGAGUGUAUAAGCAUUGUUUGUGAUUUUCGUUUGUGUUAUUGUUAUCGCUUUUGUGCAUUUUCGUGCUCUCUGUUGACAGUUUUUAUUUAUGUGUUAUCGCUAUAUAUCUGGCAUCAUGUGUAUAACCUGAGUCAUUUUUUUGCAACAAGUCCAUAGUACACGUUGUGUACACGACCUCUAGUUGAGACACCCUUAUCUUAAGGGGGGAGCCGUUGGAUGGUAUAGAGUAGGUGGAAAGCAAAGCAGCCACUAUCAACCAUAUGCUCCCUCGAAUAGCCUUGUUAGUAAAUCUCAACGUAGGUCAGCCUUUAGGUCAUGCUUAUGUGCACCAUAUUGAAGACCUAGCAAGGCCCACUUGGCCUUUUGUAGGAGACUCGCCUCUAACGCAUCUCUACGUGCUAAAUGUUGCAUCUUUGAGGGUAACGUGGUCAUUUGACGGACUGAUUUUGGGGAAAGCAUGUGGUAGAAGUAAAGUGUGUGACAGGAAAAACUCGAAAAAAAGAGGAAAAGGGAAAAAAGAGUAGAAAAAAAAAGGAGUUUUGUAGCUUUUAGUAUUCUUUAUGGCUUUUGUUUUUAACAAUUCAAAAAUUCAAAAAGAUUUCUUUAUUUUCUGCACUCAUUUGUUCAAAAUCCAAAAAAAAAAUCUCUCACUAUGUCUCCUUUAGCAUGCAUUCAUUAUUCAAAAUUUUCAAAAAAGAUUUUUUAGCAGUUUUUAUAAAAGAAAAUGCAAAAAAUGGUAGAAAUUUGUACAUUUCAUGUAAUGAAAAUACCAAAAAAAAUUUCCUUCAUAAUUGUUGGUGUCAAUUUUAGUUGAAGUGUCUAAUGAAAAACCCAAAAAGAUUUUAUUCGUUUGUCUUUGGUUGUGUCUCUUAAGUUAUGGUCAAUCUGUUAGUUAAUCGUUAAUUGUCCAAUCGGGACGAACUACGCAUACCUGAUUCUCGUCCCUCGGGGCGGGAUACGUAGGCAACCCUCGGUGGGUCCGGUAAUCUUUAUUUUAGCCUUUGUCUUAGCCUUAGCCUAGGUCUUUCUCCUCGUAAUCUAGUGUUAUUAGUUUGUCUUAGCCAAGUACGCUGAUUUUAUUCAGUGGUACUAUUCGGUGAUUUGGAGUCAUAAAGUGGUCUGUCCCUUUGACAUAUGACUGCGACAAAUCCCAAGGGUUGGGAAUCUUUUGCUCUUAUAGAAUUUUCAAGUAGAUGUCCUAUGUGUUACUACAGGAUGGAUCCGUCGACAAAGUCCAUAGUCAUGAUGGUUGUCAAGGUGCCCAGAAAGUUAAUCAAAUGGUGGGACAUGUUUAACUACGUUGAACAGCAGGAGUUAACAAAGAAGUUAGGCGCUCUCACUUCCCUCCUAGAACUCACGCCCAUCCCAGAUCUGAUCGAGGCUAUAUUGACUUUUUGGGACCCAGGUUGUUUGGUAUUUAGGUUUGAAAAUUGUGAAAUGAUGCCCACUCUGGCAGAGAUAUCUACUUUCUGUAAGUUGCCUUACAUUAAGAAAAUGAUGAUUCGGGCGCGGACUCAUUCCCCCAUACAGUUUCUUCAUGGUUAUGGCUUAAAGGCCAAUAAGCACCUAACAUGUCUUAAAAAAUCUUGGGUCUCCUUUAAUUAUUUGUAUGCUCGUUUUGGGCCCUCGGAUGGUUUUGAUUGCUUUUGGGAAGAAUUUUAUACAACUAAGGAGAAUUGGGAGAAAUGUCGUCUAGAAGUCUUCACGCUAGUCUUGUUGGGCAUUUUAGUCUUCCCAUUAGAAGAGAGGUGAAUUAAUACUCGUUUGCAGACGGUGGUGAUGGCCUUAUUUCAUGAACAACUAGGGGAAACAUUCACUCUUGUACCUAUGAUCUUGGCGGAAAUAUAUAUAGCUUUAAUCGAGGUAAAAGGAGGGGUGAGAUUUUUCGAAGGAAGCAACCUGAUAUUGCAAUUAUGGAUGAUGGAGCACUUGCAUACGCCUUCUUUGAUUAGGUCGGAUGUGAUCGAUCAUUAUAUGUUUGAGCGAGUGGAAGCCAUGAAUCAUAGAAUGCGUUUUGAUAAGUUCUUGCUGCCAAUAGGGGUCGAUGCUCGGAUUAAAUUUCUUGAGUCAAGAUCUGAGGACAACAUUCUGUGGACCUAUCUCUGGUUUCGUUCAAAAAUAAUCCUUUGUGGUUGUCGGAUGCAACCUCUUUUAGUUCUGUUAGGGGUCAAUUGUACCAGACCGUACUCUCCUCUUAGGGUAAUGCGCCAAUUGGGUAGACUACAAGACGUUCCACCAGUAAUGGAUCUCUUGAAGGAUGUUGAGCACUUUAGGGAUCAAGCCUUAGGUGAGAGUAAAUACGAAGAAUUCUUGAAUCACGCAACAUAGGUAGGUGUGAAUACUCUCUAAGUAGGUUCAAAUAAUCCAGGGUACACUCAGAAAUAUGGGGUCUGGCUUCAAUCUAUACCUCGGGGUGUCAGCAGGCCAUUACCAGUGCAUCUUAGAGGAAGAAUACCAGAAGACUGAAUUGUUGAUGAUGGUCAGGAUGAAAGUGCAGGGGACAAAGUGGAGACACUGAGAGUUCAGUUAGCAGAUUUGUUCAAGACUAUGGAAAGGUGUCAGAACAAUCUUUCCAGGUGCACUCCCCAUAAGGCGGGAAUAUGGGCCAGAAGCUUCUUCCUAAAUAUCAGGGUGUCUUUAUCGGAUAUACUACAAAGUUUGGGUGGGAGAAAGAGAGCUUCACAAGCUGGUCCAUCUCAGCCAGGGUCAUCACGCAGAGCGCCAUUUUGAAGGAGCACUUCCUAUCUUUUGUUUAGUUUGAGUCUUUUACUUUUCUGCCUUGUAAUAUUGUGUCCUUUUUAAGUUGGUGUCAAGUUUGUUUUAAUGUUAAGAGUCUUCACUAGGAGUAUUACGCAUGUUAUAUUUUGGGUCUUGAAUGUUGUUUAGUCUUUGUUGAUUGGUUUUUAAGUUGUUAGAUUCGAAGUUUGUUUAAUCGUUUCUUUUAUGAAAUGUAGCGAAGUUACAGAGUUGUUUCCUUUUCUGUGUUCUUCGUUAAAAAAAAUAAAAAAUGAUAAUAAUAAAAUAAUAAGAAAUCUUCAACUUUGUGGUGUUUAUGUGUGUGCAUUGUCCGAACUACGUAAGAUCUGAUUCAUGUACAACAUGAGACGUACACAACCUACUUUUGGGUUCAAUAUAAUCAUUUUAUUUCGUCGUUUUUCAUUAUUUUUCCUCUUUUUUUUAAAAAAGCAAAAGCCAUAAAGACUUAUAAAACGAAGGUAGAUAGCGAAAAAAGAAAGUAAGAAAGGAUGAUGAGACAAGAAAGGGAAAGAACAGAGACUGAUACAAAAAAAAAACAGGGAAAUGAGGGUGAAAGAAAAGAGGUGUGUUUGGAGGAAAGAAGCAAAUGAGUGUAGAUGAAAAUUGGGAUGAUGUUAAAAUGACCUCGCUACCCUCAGGUUGGUAGAAAUGAACAUGAAUCUAGGAUAAUUUUACCAAUAUGAUUCCCAUGCUUGUUGUGUGCCCUAAUCCUAACAGAUGUUGUCUUUGAUGACAUGUUCUUUCAGAUAAGUGGUUGCUUUGCAGCACUCUGGCUAGUCACCCGUACUUCACUAGAUCAAAAGUGAAGCUUGCCAUGGCUAGUAGGGAGAUUUAAAAUUCACUCAUUGACCCAGAUCAGGAUCCCAGGGAAGAAAGUUCAGAACGCAAUGAUGAGGUAUUGAGACUUAGACAACAAUUGCCUACCGCUCUCACAGGCGCAAUUCUCUAUUCCCAUUGAGUCACCGGAGCACGCAUCAGGAUUCACCUCUGCGGCAAUAUUACACUGGCACUUCUAGUGUGCCCCUAGAAGUUCCUCAACCAAGGCUCGUGACUCAGCUAGCGCCACCAGCAGCACCGGUGUUUGUGGCUCUGCCACCACCUGAAGCUCCCACAUAUGUUGUGCGUCCGAUAAUAGGGCUUCCUCGAUCUGCCAGUGAGCCAGUAUUGAAGGUUCCAGAUAGUCAGUAUUAUGCCCCGGAGCCUACUUUGAGAAUGAAUGAACCGUAUCGCUAUACUUAACCACGUGCAUUUCCAUUUAAUACGGAGAAACCUGUCGCAACAUAGGAACAAGAAGUCAUAGUGCGGAAAUUAAAAAGUUUGGAAUAGGCCAUGAGGAAUUUGUAGGGAAUUGGAGGUUAUAAGAGUGUUUCCUAUAAAGAUCUUUGCAUGUUCCCAGACAUCAACCUUCCCAUCAGUUUUAAAAUGCCCAUGUUCGAGAAAUAUGUUGGGCACGGUGAUCCCGUGGCACACUUGAGACAUUAUUGCAACCAAUUGAGAGUUGCAGGGGGAAGGAAAGAGUUGCUCAUAGCUUUCUUUGGCAAGAGUCUUUCUGAUCUGGCUUCAGAAUGGUUUGUCGAUCAAGAUAUCGAAAAGUUAAACAGCUGGGAUGAUUUAGCUUCCGAGUUUGUGCAACAUUUUUGGUAUAAUAUCGACCUGAUUCCUGACAAAAUAUCCUUGGUCAACAUGAAGAAGAAAAACAUCGAAGGCUUUAGGGAAUAGCGGUUAGGUGGCAUGAACAGGCCGCCAGGGUAAAGCCUCUAAUGAAAGAGAGUAAGCUGGUAGAGAUCUUCAUUCAGGCACAGAAUGAGACAUAUUUUCAAUAUUUACUUUCGGCAAUAGGAAAGUCUUUUAUUGAAGUCCUCAAAAUGGGAGAGAUGAUAGAGAACGGAAUCAAGACCUUCCAAAUAGUGAGUUUUGCCGCGUUAAAAGCCACCACACAAGCGAUUCAAGGUGGAUCUGGUGUGUUCGGAGUUAAAAAGAAUAAAGGGGAUGUGGUGACCGUUGUUGUUGGACCCCAUUCCUAUCCCAAAAGACCGCCUCGGCCCUAUCCCCAAUCCUAAGCCUAAGCCUAUGUAAAAGCUCCAUAUAUUUCUCCCCACCAUUACUACCCUCCACAAAACCCACCAUAUGCUAUUCCACCCCUUCCUUACCCAGUAUAUAGCACACAGCCAUAUGCCCAAACCCCUUCUUACCCGCAAUAGCGUAUGCAAGCUCCAUAAAAUCAUCCAUCAGCUCCACCAAAUUACCAAAAUCCCUUCAGAAUCUAUUUCCAACCCACGCCUGAGUACAAGAAAGAGAAGGCGAUCAAAAAUCAGUUCACACCUCUUGGGGAGUCAUUGCUAACUUGUUUGAUAGGUUGAGAAAUAUCAAGGUCUUAAGCCCAAUUCAAGAAAGGGUUUCAAAUCCACCUCCGAUAAAUCUCGAUUAUUCUUUAAGGUAUGCAUAUUGUUCUGACAUGCCAGGCCACAAUAUCGAGAAAUGCUGGUAUUUAAAGAGAGCUGUCCAAGAUUUAAUUGACAUAAAUCAGAUGUUGGUCCAGGCCCCAGAGAUUCCAAACAUUAACCAGAAUUUGUUGUUAACCCAUGCUGAAACCAAUAUUUUAUAAUUGAUAUAUAAUGGAAAAGACUCAUAAAGGUGUUAUAAGCCUUUCUGUCAAGAUACAGACUAAUAAGGAAAAAUUGGUGAAUGUAGCAGAUUCGUUGAAAGCAAUGUCAUUAAGCCAGAAAGGAAUGGGAAAAUCUAAAGUCCAAGAAAGCACAAAGAAACACAUAAUCACAAUGAAAAAAGUUGGAGCAGUUGUUGGUUUAAGUCAAGACAAGCCUAAGUUGUCGGUGAUAGGAGCUCCGGGUAAGCCCAUCUUGACGGUGAAAGGAAAACUGGCAGCACCUAUUGUCCUCAAACCGGUGACCCAACCUAUGAUAGUUGAUACAAAAAAGUUUCCUUGGAACUAUAAGCGAACUGUGAUGACCUAUCAGGGGAAGGAAGUAGUGGAAGAUGUAGAUGAGGUAGGGGGUUUGACUUAGUCAGGAAGAUGCUUUGUGCCUGAAAGUUUAAGGAAGUCCAAGACAAUUGUGAGUGGACCUUCAUCUAUCAAAAAUCCUACCACCAAAGAAGAAGCCGAGGAAUUUUUAAAAAAGAUGAAGUUGCCAGAGUAUUCAAUAAUAGAUCAGUUCAAGAAAACCCCUGCUCAAAUUUCCCUCUUAUCUUUGUUGUUACAUUCCCAGGAACAUAGUGAUAUUAUAUUGAAGGUAUUAAAUGAAACAUAUGUUCCUAGGGAGAUUACAGUAAAUCAGCUUGAGAAAAUGGUUGGAAAAAUCUUUGAGGUCAAUCGGAUCAGCUUCUUUGACAAUGAAUUGCCUGUUGAAGGAACGGGGCAUAAUCGGAGUCUUUACAUUACGGUGAAGUACAAAGAUUUCUAUGUCACUUAUGUCAUGAUUGACAGAGGUUCAGGUGCAAAUAUUUGCCCUAUUUCUACUUUGCAAAAGUUGAAUAUUGGUGUUGAGAGGAUCAGGCCCAACAAUGUAUGUGUUAGGGCUUUUGAUGGUGCAAAAUCUAACUCCAUUGGCGAAAUAGAAUUAAUGUUGAUUAUAGGUCCUAUUGAGUUCGCCAUAGAGUUUUGAGUAUUAAAUAUAGACUCCUCUUACAAUCUGUUGCUGGGAAGACCGUGGACCCACAAGGCCAAGGCGGUUGCAUCUACAUUGCACCAAAUGACCAAGUUUGAGCAUGACAGGCAAGAAACGGUUAUUCAUGGUGAAGAGGAUUUGUCUGCCUACGAAGAUUCUCCCUUGUCCUUUAUUAAAGCAAAUAAUGUAUAUGACACAUUUGUCUAUCAAACUUUUGAUACAGUGUCGGUGAAUCAUAUCGUUGAAGGGCAGGUUAUUCUAGGGCCACAAUUGUCUCCUACUUCUGUCAUGAUGAUAAAUGAAAUAUUAAAAUAUGGAUUCGAUCCAGGAAGGGAUUUGGGAGUGUCUCUGCAAGGUAUAUUUCAUCCCAUAUGUCCGGAUGAGAACAUGGGAACUUUUGGUUUUGGAUUUGAACCUACGGAUAAAGAUCUGAAGAAGACCAAAGGAAGGAAAAAGAAAACAUGGUCACUCCCUCGCCCAGUGCCCCUACUCAGUAAGUCAUUCAUCAAGAGUGAUGUCAUGAACCCUGUAGAAUUUAAAGCUGAAUUGGUCUAUGACUUCCAAAACCUGCUGAUUGAUGUUGACAUGGUUGAAGCCGGAGAGGGUACCAGUAAGGCAGGCGCACAGUUCAUAGGUCCCGAGGUCCAGCUCAACAAUUGGGAAGUCACUCCUCUCCCCAUCAGGAGGGAGUUUUGGUAGUUCAUUUUAUUUUUCUUUCUAUUUAUUCGAGUUAUUCCAGGGUUGUAAUUCAGAAUUUUGCUUGUUUACAUUCUGUUGUCAUUUGUGUUUAAACCCUCCUAUCUUUCCCUUUUAAUAAAAUGCAAUGUCCUCUUAUUUUGUGUCUAAUAUAUUUUGAUUUUAUCUUUUUCAUUAUAUAGUUCUCUUUAUACUGAUUCUAAUGACAUCACAGGCAUACGGAAUUUUCAGCCUGAUCUUAAAAUACAAACUAAUCAAGACAUAAUGAAGCAAGAGGGGGAAUAUGAUAAAGAAGAGGCACUAGAGGAAAUAAGCAAAGUGUUGGAACAGUUUGAAGACAAGCUGAAUCCUAAUUUGAUUGAAACUGAGCCAAUCAAUCUAGGGAAUCAUCACCAGGUUGAAGCUAAAGGCAAGUUCUCCC